GAUGAACGCUAGCGAUAGGCUUAACACAUGCAAGUCGAGCGGCAGCAUAGUCUUAGCUUGCUAAGACUGAUGGCGACCGGCGCACGGGUGCGUAACGCGUAUGCAACUUGCCUCACGGAGGGGGAUAACCAGUCGAAAUACGGCCUAUUACGCCUUACACUCAAUCUUGAGCAUACAAGGUAUUGGGAAUGAGAUUGGCUGUGAGAUAGGCACGCGUCCUAUUAGCUAGUUGGUGAGGGAACGGCUCACCAAGGCGACGCUGGGUAGGGGAACUGAGAGGCUGCACCCCUACAACGGUACUGAGACACGGACCACACUGCUACGGGAGGGAGGAGAGAGGAAGACAGGGCGAGGAACGAGAGCCUGAACCAGCCAAGUCGCGUGAAGGAGGACUGGGUUAUUGAUUGUAUUCUUCUGGGAUACAGGAGCAGCAGGAGUCACGCGCGCCUCUCUGAAUGUACCGAAUGAAUAAGCACCGGCUAACUCCGUG
rnacentral:rRNA from 1 species